UUAAAAAAGAAUAAAGAAGAAGGGAAUAUGUUUUCUUUUAUUUGUAACAAUUUAGUUUUUCUUUUAAAAACUAUUUUUAAUCUUAAAUGUAUUUAAAAGGAAUAUUAAAUAAUUUUAGUCUUUUAUUGAUUUUUUUUAAUUUUUUAAGAAUUAAUUAGAAAAUAGUUUUUAAAAUUUUUAUAAUUAAAGAGGGCACAAUUUGGUAAUUGUCAAAGUUUGGGGAGUACAAAUGCUAAUUAUUUUAUGCAAAUUGUAACAUGAGGCAUGAUCUGAUAGUAUCAAUAGUUCAUGGGGAAAUUUUAACAGACAAUAUAUCUUAGGAGGCACAAUCUGAUAGUAUUAAAAAUUCAGGGGAAAAAAUGUUAUUUAUUCAAAAAAUUAAAUAUGUCAAAAUAUGGAGGAAAAAAAAGAAUAUCAAAAUCGAGAAAUAUAAAAAAUGUAACUUAAACUUUUUCAAAAUAUCUUGAAAAAUAUUGAUUUUUUUUAGAAAUGAAUCCUUUAAUCGUAUUGUUAUCCCUGUUUUCCACUCGUGAUAUGUGGCAUCACCUAUUGGGUUUGUGGGCCCUCUUAAGAGGUCCGGGCCCAUCCUUAACCUGGUGAACGGGGAAGGAUGAAACCCUAGUAGCCCAAGCACCAUCAAGCCCAACAACAUUCAAUUGGUGCUAGCAUAACAAAGGAACUGGGACUAAGAUGCAGGCCUGACUCAUCUUCCCGGCCCCGACCAACCUACAUCCUCCGGGAUGCCAAUUGAGGUGACAGACUAACUAGUCGAUGGAGAUAGACCUUAUCAAGAAUCCAGGGGAGAUACUCAGUAUCACGAUGUCCAUCUUGGAAAAUGAACCCGAGUCCUGGUGAGCAAACCAGGACUUCGGUAAAUGAAUUGUGACAUUAGUAAGCGAACCCGGACCAAACUUCCGGAUAGGGCAAGCCUAGAUUUCCCCAAUGCUGACCUGUCCCUAUGAAAUCCGACAGUUGGUCUCCUCAACUAAUCUGCAGAAGAGGGUACGCACGGAACGUACAUUGUUCCUAAGAAACAGUACUGCCACUACUCUGACAGAUCUUGUCCCCAGGGUCCCCUUAGAAGCCCAUGCGGACCAGUUCGUGCUAACGUACAAUGGGCAGCUGUAGGGCUUGGCCAUGCCUGAGCCGACCCAAUGGGCCCAGAUUAACUACAUCUUAUUAUGUAACAUUCUUUGUAUUAUGGCUCCAUUAGUGAGCAAACUAUAAUUACAUCCCUAUUGGGCCCGGAUUAAUCCGACCCAAGCCCAUUGCGCUUGACUUCCUACAAAUAGGGACAGUUGUGCACUGUAGCAUGGAUCUCAGAUUUUCUCUUGUAAGCAAAUACUCUGUUAAAACUCGUAGAAAACUCAAUUCUCAAAAACUCUCUAAAGCCUAAUGCUAUUGACUCGUGAACUAAUGCUCAUUAAUGCUCCAACCACGUAAAAAUUGUGACUGUUCAUCUCUAAUUCUUUCUUUUUAGCUCUUACUUCUUAAUAUCUUUCUAGUUUAUAAAAACUCGGUAAACACGUAUGUAUAUGAAUUUUCACAUCUCAUAUUACUAUAUAUAUAACAAAACAAUAUAUAUUGGAUUAUUUAAAUUUUUGAAUUGUAGAAUUCUUGUGUAUUCAUUUACAGAUUUAUUAUGAACUUUCAUAUUUUAGAUAAAUAUUUGUCACAUAUGCAUAUGCAUGAAUUUCUAAAAAUUUCCAUCCUCGUCAAUAUUUUUCUGAUAUUAUCUAGUCAAGCCUAUUUGGUUUGGUUUCCAGGUAUAAAGAAAGGAGUACAAGAACUCAAUCCAAGAAGGAGAGUGAUUUUUGAUCUUCCUUGCAAGUACAAACUUGCUUGGAUGAAUUGAUGAUACAAAAAAAAAAACGCUUCACCUUUUGUAGAUCUUUUGGCCUUCAGAAAGAAACUAAACUAUGCGGACACGUUCGCAGCUCCUUUUUGAGUUCUGAGAUCGAAGAAUUUUUGCGUCGUGUUACUAGCUGCGCCUUUGUUGUCCAAGGCUACGGUAAGUACAAGGCAUCAAGAUUUUGUUUUGAGUACAUAACAUGUCAUCAAAGGCCAUCUCAGCCUUACAUUCUGAUUAGCCUAACUAAUUCCUAUAGUUAUGUUUGGACAUUAAAACUAGCCAGUGCAUUGCUCUGGAAAUCUUGCUCGCGUUGGAGGUAUUUUCUUAGAUGAAGGGAAGUCUGUUUUUGUUGAGUGCCACAAAAAGCCUAAGCUAUCAUGAGAAGCAAUAGUUGAAGAUGGUUGGUUCCAUACAGGUUGAAGAAGAAAAUCUCUUUUUUUUCUAAGUCUCUUUGAAGAAACUUCACUUAAAAACCUCUUUUGAUAAUUAAGUCCUUGGCAUUUCUGAAGAUAUAGGGGAAAUGCUGAGCAGUUAAGAUAAUUGAUAGGAAAAAGAAUCUUGUAAAAUUGUCCCAAGGUAUGUUGCUCUGAGUACUUGGAGAAUGUUCAUAGUUUCACUCCAAUUGUUGAAGAUGUAAGUAAAAAACUCUCUCUUCAUGA